AGCAGCCGCGGUAAUUCCAGCUCCAAUAGCGUAUAUUAAAGUUGUUGCAGUUAAAAAGCUCGUAGUUGAAUUUCGGGACUAAUAUGUCGGUCGUGCCUCGGUACGAACUGGUUUUAUUGGUUUCUCCUUUCUGAAGAACCAUGAUGUCAUUUAUUUGGUGUCGUGGGGAAUCAGGACUGUUACUUUGAAAAAUUAGAGUGUUUAAAGCAGGCUCACGCUUGAAUACAUUAGCAUGGAAUAAUGAAAUAGGACGUUUGAUUCUAUUUUGUUGGUUUCUAGGAUCGACGUAAUGAUUAAUAGGGAUAGUUGGGGGCAUUAGUAUUCAAUUGUCAGAGGUGAAAUUCUUGGAUUUAUUGAAGACUAACUACUGCGAAAGCAUUUGCCAAGGAUGUUUUCAUUAAUCAAGAACGAAAGUUGGGGGAUCGAAGACGAUCAGAUACCGUCGUAGUCUUAACCAUAAACUAUGCCGACUAGGGAUCGGAUGAUGUUAAUUUUUAAUGACUCAUUCGGCGCCUUACGG
rnacentral:rRNA from 1 species